ensembl:snRNA U1 U1 spliceosomal RNA
AUACUUACCUGUCAGGGGAGAUACCGUGAUCAAGAAGGCGGUUCACCCAGGGCGAGGCUCAGCCAUUGCUCUACGGCUGUGCUGACCCCUGCGAAUUCCCCAAAUGUAGGAAUCUCGACUGCAUAAUUUCUGGUAGUGGGGGACUGCUUUCGCGCUCUCCCCUG